AUACGGAGGGUCCAAGCGUUAUCCGGAUUCAUUGGGUUUAAAGGAUCCGCAGGCGGGAAAAUAAGUCAGUGGUGAAAGCCUACAGCUCAACUGUAGAACUGCCAUUGAAACUGUUUUUCUUGAGUAUAGAUGAAGUGGGCGGAAUAUAUCAUGUAGCGGUGAAAUGCAUAGAUAUGAUAUAGAACACCGAUUGCGAAGGCAGCUCACUAAACUAUUACUGACGCUCAGGGACGAAAGCGUGGGGAGCGAACAGGAUUAGAAACCCUAGUAGUCC
rnacentral:rRNA from 1 species